UCUAGUCUCCUCUCUGAUUUGACCGUCGGAGGGUCCCCGCCGGAGCCGCCUCCGGUCAGUGCGGACUUUCUUUUGCAGGCGCCCGUUCCCGACGACCAGGCGACGAGGGGAUUGGCCGCAACAGAUUAGCGCGCCAGGUAGGGGGAGCAUCAGGUCUUAGUGCUUCAUUGACAGCACCAGGGAUCGUAACCCCCACAGAAUUUAAGAUGAUAAAGACAAGAGCUC
rnacentral:lncRNA from 1 species